UACGUAGGGGGGCGAGCGUUGUCCGGAAUUAUUGGGCGUAAAGAGCUCGUAGGCGGCUUGUCACGUCGAUUGUGAAAGCCCGAGGCUUAACCUCGGGUCUGCAGUCGAUACGGGCUAGCUAGAGUGUGGUAGGGGAGAUCGGAAUUCCUGGUGUAGCGGUGAAAUGCGCAGAUAUCAGGAGGAACACCGGUGGCGAAGGCGGAUCUCUGGGCCAUUACUGACGCUGAGGAGCGAAAGCGUGGGGAGCGAACAGG
rnacentral:rRNA from 1 species